rnacentral:rRNA from 1 species
GACGAACGCUGGCGGCGUGCUUAACACAUGCAAGUCGAACGGAAAGGCCCUGCUUUUGUGGGGUGCUCGAGUGGCGAACGGGUGAGUAACACGUGAGUAACCUGCCCUUGACUUUGGGAUAACUUCAGGAAACUGGGGCUAAUACCGGAUAGGAGCUCCUGCUGCAUGGUGGGGGUUGGAAAGUUUCGGCGGUUGGGGAUGGACUCGCGGCUUAUCAGCUUGUUGGUGGGGUAGUGGCUUACCAAGGCUUUGACGGGUAGCCGGCCUGGGAGGGUGACCGGCGACAUUGGGACUGAGGUACGGAGCAGAGUCCUAUGGGAGGCAGCGGUGGGGAAUAUUGCACAAUGGGCGGAAGCCUGAUGCAGAAACGCCGCGUGCGGGAUGACGGCCUUCGGGUUGUAAACCGCUUUCGCCUGUGACGAAGCGUGAGUGACGGUAAUGGGUAAAGAAGCACCGGCUAACUACGUG